rnacentral:rRNA from 1 species
CCACAAUGGACGAAAGUCUGAUGGAGCGACGCCGCGUGCGGGAUGAAGGCCUUAUGGGUUGUAAACCGCUGUCAGGGGGAAGAACAUCGGAAUGAACAAUACUCAUUCCGACUGACGUUACCCCAGGGGAAGCUCCGGCCAACUCCGUGCCAGCAGCCGCGGUAAUACGGGGGAGCAAGCGUUGUCCGGAAUUAUUGGGCGUAAAGGGCGUGUAGGCGGCGAGGUAAGUCGAAUGUGAAAUCUCACGGCUCAACCGUGAAACUGCGUUCGAAACUACCCUGCUUGAGUACGGGAGAGGUGUACGGAAUUCCUGGUGUAGCGGUGGAAUGCGUAGAUAUCAGGAAGAACACCGGUGGCGAAGGCGUA